CAUUUAUGCCCAAUUCAUUUGCGCCUCCUAUGUUUAGACCCAGAUUGGUGUUGAUUUGAUUAACAAAUUGAUCCUCCAAAUCUUGCUCAUUAGAAAACUCAUUUCCUAAAUUAGAGGAAACAAAAUUCACGUUUUUAAUUUCCACAUCUUCCUAGAACCACCUGCUAUGAUUCGAUUCCACCCUUCUAGACAACACUUGGAUGGAAGCAUCCCAUCCCAUAACCACUUCUACUCCAUCGUUAUGAAUACGUUUCGAGCAAAAAUUAGUGAUGUGUCCAAG
rnacentral:lncRNA from 1 species